CCUACGGGAGGCAGCAGUGAGGAAUAUUGGUCAAUGGGCGAGAGCCUGAACCAGCCAAGUCGCGUGAAGGAUGACGGCCCUACGGGUUGUAACCUUCUUUUGUCGGGGAGCAAUUUGGUUCACGCGUGCGCUUAGCGAGUGUACCUGAAGACAAAGCAUCGGCUAACUCCGUGCCAGCGGCCGCGGUAGUACGUAGGCUGCGAGCGUUAUCCGGAUUUAUUGGGUUUAAGGGGUGCGUAGGCGGAAUAUCAAGUCAGCGGUAAAAAUUCGGGGCUCAACCCCGUCGUGCCGUUGAAACUGAUGUACUUGAGUGGGCGAGAAGAAUGCGGAAUGCGUGGUGUAGCGGUGAAAUGCAUAGAUAUCACGCAGAACUUCAAUUGCGAAGGCAACAUACCGGCGCCCAACUGACGCUGAAGCACGAAAGCGUGGGUAUCGAACAGGAUUAGAUACCCUGGUAGUC
rnacentral:rRNA from 1 species